UGAAUAAAUGGGACAUAGGAGCAGCUUCUGACUCAAAGUAACAACUUUUAGUAUAAAGUUUUGCUAAAAAAUUGGAAAGAAAAUAUGCAGAAAGCCAGAAAACAAUGCAGGCCUUCACAGUUCUGUAAAAAAUUCAUUGACUAUACGGACAAUUUUGACAGAGUAAAGCAACAUGAUAAUCAGUAAUAAUAACAAGAUUAAACACAAAUUCUAAGCUUCCAAUUCAUCAAAAGUAUUCAUAACCAACUACCUUGUCUGAGUAGAAACAUUUGAGCCAUCAGGGAGAACUGAUCCAUGAAAGGUAGUAGACGUGUUAGAGACACAAUCAACUCCAGAAGGUACCUCCUCUGAUAUUCUUGAAUUUCCUUGAAAAUUGGGUAAGGAUGCCUUAUCUACAUUCAUUAAGCUGCUGGAAAUAUCACCCAAAAACUUUAACUGCUCAAGAUGUCCUUGCUCAUGACCACCUGAGCCUUUUAAGAAGUCACUAGAAUUUUCCUUUUGGUGGCAAUUUUGCUUCUUUUCAUGUGUGUCAUUGGCUCCCUCGUAAGAGUUGAGAGCAACUUUAGGGCCAUUACUCAUCUGAUGUUGACUUUUUACAAUGCUCUCACUGCCCUUUUCCAUAGAUAUAUUAUUACUUGAGGCUAUUUUCUGAUGCUGUGCAGCACUUUGUGAGUGAUCAAACAUUUGUCCACUCCAUGCAUUAUCUGAAUGCAUAAAUGUUUGAACCUUUUCGUCAAUUGAUGUCUUCUGUUGAGGGUUGUAAUUCUCAAUCGACUCAUGAGAGCCAUCCCGGCAAAUAUCCUCUUUCUGUUCAACUGAUAAUUGGAUUCCUGGUUGCUGAAAGCCAGGGAAGCUAGAGCUCAUGCUAGAAUCAGUAAUCAUAGGAAAAGGUUUUGAACUAAAGGAGGAGGCACUCUGCAAGUUGUUAUCAACCCAGCCAGCAUGUUGCUUCUCACUGUCAACGAAGUUUGAAAUUUGGUUAUCAGUUGAGUGCUCUGUGUUUUGAAAAGUCAAACUACUCCACUCCUCCUGUACGCCAGUAUCACUGCUAGAAGCCUCUGCCACAGCAGACUGCAUAAGUGCACUCCAGCUCCCACUCUGAAUAGAAGGAAAAGCAUAAGAUGAGUCUGGAUGUUCCAAUGUGUUGCCCAAGCCUCCAGCACUUGCCUCAGGGCGACUUCCAAAAGCAUCCCAAAUGUUGUCAUCCAUAUUAUACAAUAUCUUUGCUUCCAUUGGAUCUAGAGGAACCAAACCUUGAGAAGGGCCAAGUUGUUUUGUUUGCUGCCUUGUAGGCCAAUCAGCUUGUUCUUGUCUCCCAUUAAAUUCCUUCACAGCUGUAUUGCCCUGUGGAGUAUUACCCUCCAGAAGAUUUCCUGGAAAAACUCCACUAUUUAAACCCUGAAUGGGAACUUGUCCAAAACUAUUUUUCGUCUGAAGUUCCUGCUUGGAUAUCAAAGCUCCUUGGGAUAAGCCUGCCAGGUCUAGAGGAACAGCAGGCUGAUCUCCUACAAAGGGAUUGCCAAACCCAGAUGACCGCAUUACUGAUUUUUGUACUUGACCGCUAGCCUGGGCCAACAAAUUGACAGAAUCAUGAGAUGUUCCUUGGAGAUGAGGAUAUUGACCCAUGUUGCCUCUUGUGUUAGAAAUAGGAGUACCAUAUAAAGAGACAUCAAGCAGCUGAGGAGUAAGACCUGUGGAACGCAAAGCCUGAACUUGCUCUUGGGAGAACACGACUUUAUUUGAUGCUCCUUGCAUAGCAGGAGAUGCCCCACGCUGCAUCCAGUUCUUAAGCAUUUGCGACGCAUCAGGAACAGGUGUUCCACUGAUGAGAGGUGAAAACUGACCCCCAGCUGCCGGUCUUGAAACAGCAGAAAACUGGUUUAAGGAGCUCUGUUGCCUCAAAUCACCUAGCUGCUGAAGCUGCUGCUGUCUCUGAAAUUCUUGCAGCUGCUUGAACAUUAUGUGUUGCUGCAACAACUGCAAGUCAUUAAACCCAGGCUGCUGCAUUGGGUGAGUCUGUGGAGAACUCAGCUGUUGGUCCUUCACAAAUUGAUGCUGCCCUCUGAGAAAGUUGAAAUCACUAGAAGCUUCAGUAAUCUCUGACUUUUCUGAAUUUGUUGUCAAGGUGGGACUGUCUGCACACUCAUUUUCUGGCUGUGAUUUAAAGACAGAAAAACCUUUUGAAGUCAAAAUUCGCUGGUCAUAACAGGUGCUUUCACUGAAAAUUCCAGGCUGAUUCUGAUUUGACUGGAAGUUAUGGUAUCCACGCAAAAAUUCAUUUGCAUCCAGUGGAUUGUUGAUGGUAAGACUUCUGGAAUACUCUGGUCUUGGAGUCAAUUGCAUAUAGUUUGGGUCAAAUGCCACAUUUAGAGACUCAACAUCAUUUCCUUUCAAACAAUCUAAUUGCCGUAAGUUGUAGUUCUUGCGAUUGAAAUACUGUGUUGCCCCAAUCCGUGUUGGCUUUCCAACCCACUGAUCGUAAUCAAGUACUGGCCAACUGCCACCAACGGCUUGAGAUAGAUGCCGACCCUGGGAAGAGUUGUCUAGCUUGUAUAGAUUGCAGAUCCCCUCUUCAGGUUUGUUACCAGGCAUUAAAAAUAAAAAAUAAAAACUUUCCAGCUAAUUUUUUGUGUAAAUUUUAGGUCUAUCCAUACAAAUGAUCAAUAUUUAGUCAGACCACUCCAUAUGGCGCCUCAUAUUGUUAUCUUCCAGCUAAAAGAAGUAUAAUUACCAAAAACCCAAAGGGCUCCCAAGCAGAAGCAUCAAAAGUGUUUACCAAACUUGACACAGCGUGAUCUAAGUAAGCAGGAAUUUAGGGUUCUUUUGAAGCAAAGAAGAGCAUAGACGACCAAUGAAGCAAACGGCGAGCCGUUUUUUAACGGACUGAUCAAUUAAACGAAGCCAAAAACCGCAAAACUUGAUGUGUGAUAUGUUUAUUUUCUUUUGGCUUUUAAGAUCAAAUUUUC
rnacentral:misc_RNA from 1 species